rnacentral:tRNA from 14 species
CGGAGUGUAGCUCAGCCUGGUAGAGCACUGCCUUCGGGAGGCAGGGGCCGGAGGUUCGAAUCCUCUCACUCCGACCA